CCCUCUUCUCUUUUCUCUUCUCUGUUCGACCUUCUACCGGUUUGAUCGAGAGUUAGCAAGGGAAUUAAUCGAAUGAAGUUAUUUGAUGAGUAUGUGGAUGAUGAAGGAGAUGGUGUAGUUGUAAUUCGUAAAGAAAAUCAAUUAGAGGUUGACGAAUUAGAAUAGAGAGAACCAAGUUAGGGUUUUGGUGAUUAUGAUGAGUGAUUUGGGUUGUUGUUAGGUGAAGAACGAGCGGGUCGAAGUUUAAUUGAGGUUCUAAAGUUGUUUGGAGAUGAUUUGAGGAAUUAGGGUUUCAUAAGAAAAUACUCAAAAGAGGUUUAAAAGAUAAAAUUGAUGUUCAAGAAGUGAGAUUAGAGAUGGAUAUGGAUUGGUUGAGUGAAGUUAUAUUUGGAAUUAAGUUGUAAUCGGUGAAUUGAUGGACCAAUGAAUUAGGGUUUCGGUGUUGAGAAUUGGGAAGUGAACUAAAGUUUACUGAGAACAGAGAUAGUGAUGAAGGUUGCUGAGUUGGUAAUGGGCUUGGGAAGAAUUACUGAGUCAAGUUAACUGAAGAAGAAGUUGACUUUCAAUGGCUUGAAACAGAACUUAGUUGGGGUAACUGCUCUUCUGAUUAAUUUAGUUAUUUAAUCUUGUCAAUUGAGUUCUAUUAGCUGUUAUUUGAGUUAAGAUCUGAGACAGGUAUUUGAAUGAAGUUUGGUGGUAGUUUACAAUUAUGUUGAACCACAGAGAAACUGUAUGUAUGAGAAUGAUACAGGAAUUCAGUGUUUUGUUAUUGUCGGUGAUGAGAUUGUUGAAUCUACUGCUAGUGGUUCAGGCAAAAGAAAUUGAGAUUGUAGGUGAUGUUGAUUGUAUUGGAUCUGAAGUGUCGAAUGGCUUUUGAAGAUUUCAGUUGAGGAUGUAAUAUCAGGAAUGGUGGUGUUUGUAAAGUGAAGAAGGUUAGAAUUGGAUUUGAACUGAAGUUAUAGAGGUUUGUGUUAUGAUUGGUUUGCGGAGAUAGAGUGUAUACAAGAUUAUAGUUUAGGUUUGUUUGAUUGGAUUGCAAUUGCAUAUGGAAUUGGAAUUAAUCUGGUUAUGCAGAUAGAGCUGAAAUGGUAUUGUUAGUCUAAGCCGUUGAGUUGUUAUGAGUUGCAAUUAUAGUGAUAUUGUUUGUGUGUGAGAGUUUUAAAGAUGCAGUGGCAGUAUAGUUGUGCUGGUUUGUUUCAGUUGAGAAGAUGGUUACUGCAGCUACUGCAAUUGCAGUUAGUUAUUAAUAACGAUCGAUUCAAAGGAUGAACCAGUGGAUCAUGGAUCUCGAGGUAGGCGUGGCUUGUCAUCAAAAGAGUUUCAGUGACAGAUCAUAGUUGCGCAGCGGAAGCUUCAAGGGUCGAGUUCGCUAGUUGAUUAACUUCUGCUAUGUUUAUUAUGUAUUAUAUUUUAUUUGUAAACCAAAUGACUAUUAUAUAUGUAUCAUUUGAGAGUAAUCCUUGUAUAUAUAUAUUUCUGAG